UUUUCUACCAGUUGAGUGACCUAGUUGAAAAAAAGAAAAUAAUGAAACACUUGGAAUUACGAAGCAAUAGAAAAUUUAAUGGAGAAACCACUCAACAAUGAUAAUUACCAGAUGCUAUUUGUGAUGCCCAGAGUUUAAGUUCAAAAUUUGGAUUAAUUCUGUCUGGAAAUUCAAGAAGAUAAGCAAGCAUUGAACCAAGAUGUACAAGUUCUUGUACCAUAAGUAAAGGUGGACCUUCAAAAAAUCCAAUGAGUUUAACAAUACAAGAAUGAUUAAAAUUAAUCAUAAGUUUUGCUUCACGUAAAAAUUCUUCUUUAGUUAAAUUAUUAUCAGUAUCACGUAAUGUUUUAAUUGCAACUGGUAUUGAUUCAUCAUUUGAAUUAAUAUAAAUACCCUCAUGAACAGCACCAAAUUCACCCUCACCUAAUACCUCACCAGAUAUAAGAUUAUCACCAGGUAUAAAAUCAUGUGAGUGUAAUGAUGUUUUUAAAGUAAUACUUUUUUCAAAUACAUCGGGUUUUUGUUCAUAAUUUGUUUCUAAUUUUGUUGGUGUUAUAUCCAUUUGAAAUGCAAUAUUUGGAAAUGACGAUGAUGAUGAUGGUGAUGAUGAUAUUGAUGAUGUACCCUCAAUACAUGAUUGAUUUGUUGAAUUUUUUUUUAAGUGAGAAUUUUUUUUGAGUGUAUUGCCAUUGAAUAUUGAUGCUGGCAUUUCUGGAACUGGUGGUCUUGGCUCAGGAGGUAUUGGGUGUACCAAAGGGCCAGGUAAACCAUCUGGCAUACAUCGAUAAUGCUCAAUAACAUGCUCAAGUGAAGCAAGAUAUGGACCAUUGUCAAUAAAUAAAUAAUCAUUUUUCUUUUUUAUUUGAAAAUGAUAAUAUUGAUUAUGAAAUAUUGCAGUGAGCACAUAAGUUCCAGGAAUUUCAUAAUUAUCUGUAAUAUUAAUUAAUGAUUAAUAAUCAAUCAGCCAAGAUAUUUAUAUAGCUAUAUGUACUUACGUAAUAAUUUAACACAUUCUUGAUGACCAUUUUUUAUUGCUAAAUCAAGUGGAGUAUCAUCAUCAACUGUUCUUGGAUAAACUGGAGCAUUCAUUGAUAAUAAAACAUUUAUUACUUCUUUUUGUCCUGCACUUGCAGCUUCAUGCAAUGGUACCAUUCCUAAUAUUGUACAAAAAAUCAAGGUAAGAUUUUUAUAUAUUUAUAUAUGUUGAUAAAAUUUAUAAAAAAAAUCAACCUGUUUCUGUAUGUCUUGCUUGAACAUUUGCACCACCCAAAAUUAAAAGUUUUGCAGUAUUUGGAAGAUUAUUCUGGCAUGCAUACUAGAAAAUAAAAAUUAAAAAUAAUCACAUAAAAAUAAAUUAUCAAAUAACAAAUUCACAAACAAGACAUUGUUGAAAUAAAAAAAAAUAAAAAAAGAAAAAUGAUU